rnacentral:rRNA from 1 species
CAUGCAAGUCGAGCGCGAACGGUCCUUCGGGACUUAUUAGAGCGGCGGACGGGUGAGUAAUGCAUAGGAAUCUGCCCAGUAGUGGGGGAUAGCCCGGGGAAACCCGGAUUAAUACCGCAUACGUCCUACGGGAGAAAGCAGGGGAUCUUCGGACCUUGCGCUAUUGGAUGAGCCUAUGUCGGAUUAGCUUGUUGGUGGGGUAACGGCCCACCAAGGCGACGAUCCGUAGCUGGUCUGAGAGGAUGAUCAGCCACACUGGGACUGAGACACGGCCCAGACUCCUACGGGAGGCAGCAGUGGGGAAUAUUGCACAAUGGGGGAAACCCUGAUGCAGCCAUGCCGCGUGUGUGAAGAAGGCCUUCGGGUUGUAAAGCACUUUCAGUAGGGAGGAAGGCCUGUAAGUUAAUACCUUGCAGGAUUGACGUUACCUACAGAAGAAGCACCGGCUAACUCCGUGCCAGCAGCCGCGGUAAUACGGAGGGUGCGAGCGUUAA